rnacentral:rRNA from 1 species
UACGGGGGGGGCAAGCGUUGUUCGGAAUUACUGGGCGUAAAGGGCGCGUAGGCGGCCUUCUAAGUCGGACGUGAAAUCCCUCGGCUCAACCGAGGAACUGCGUCCGAUACUGAAAGGCUUGAAUCCGGGAGAGGGAUGUGGAAUUCCAGGUGUAGCGGUGAAAUGCGUAGAUAUCUGGAGGAACACCGGUGGCGAAGGCGGCAUCCUGGACCAACACUGACGCUGAGUGAGCGAAAGCCAGGGGAGCAAACGGG